rnacentral:rRNA from 1 species
UACGAAGGGGGCUAGCGUUGCUCGGAAUCACUGGGCGUAAAGGGUGCGUAGGCGGGUCUUUAAGUCAGGGGUGAAAUCCUGGAGCUCAACUCCAGAACUGCCUUUGAUACUGAGGAUCUUGAGUCCGGGAGAGGUGAGUGGAACUGCGAGUGUAGAGGUGAAAUUCGUAGAUAUUCGCAAGAACACCAGUGGCGAAGGCGGCUCACUGGCCCGGUACUGACGCUGAGGUGCGAAAGCGUGGGGAGCAAACAGG